rnacentral:snoRNA from 15 species
GCGAUGAAGAAACGAUGACGAGAAUGACUGGAAAAUUGUCAUGUUUUUUUCAAAGUUUUUUUGAUUAAAAUUUGAUUUUUUUCUGUUUUCCGUGAUUCUAAAUGAGGCAUUUGUCAGAGCA